GACGAACGCUGGCGGCGUGCUUAACACAUGCAAGUCGAACGAUGAAGCCGGAGCUUGCUCUGGUGAAUUAGUGGCGAACGGGUGAGUAACACGUGAGUAACCUGCCCUUGACUCUGGGAUAACUGCUAGAAAUGGUAGCUAAUACCGGAUACGACCCUCGGAGGCAUCUCCAGGGGGUGGAAAGAAUUUCGGUCAAGGAUGGACUCGCGGCCUAUCAGCUAGUUGGUGAGGUAACGGCUCACCAAGGCGACGACGGGUAGCCGGCCUGAGAGGGUGAACGGCCACACUGGGACUGAGACACGGCCCAGACUCCUACGGGGGGUAGCAGUGGGGAAUAUUGCACAAUGGGCGCAAGCCUGAUGCAGCAACGCCGCGUGAGGGAUGACGGCCUUCGGGUCGUAAACCUCUUUUAGUAGGGAAGAAGCGAAAGUGACGGUACCUGCAGAAAAAGCACCGGCUAACUACGUGCCAGCAGCCGCCGUAA
rnacentral:rRNA from 1 species